rnacentral:rRNA from 1 species
GUAGGUGGCAAGCGUUGUCCGGAAUUAUUGGGCGUAAAGCGCGCGCAGGCGGUCCUUUAAGUCUGAUGUGAAAGCCCACGGCUCAACCGUGGAGGGUCAUUGGAAACUGGGGGACCUGAGUACAGAAGAGGAAAGCGGAAUUCCAAGUGUAGCGGUGAAAUGCGUAGAGAUUUGGAGGAACACCAGUGGCGAAGGCGGCUUUCUGGUCUGUAACUGACGCUGAGGCGCGAAAGCGUGGGGAGCAAACAGGGAUUAGAUACCCUGGUAGUCCACGCCGUAAACGAUGAGUGCUAAGUGUUAGGGGGGUUUCCGCCCCCGUUAGUGCUGCAGCUAACGCAUUAAGCACUCCGCCUGGGGAGUACGGCCGCAAGGCUG